rnacentral:rRNA from 1 species
GGACUACUGGGGUAUCUAAUCCUGUUUGAUCCCCACGCUUUCGUGCAUGAGCGUCUGUAUUAAAUUCGUUACCUGUCUUCACGAUCGGCGUUCUGUGACAUAUCUAUGCAUUUCACCGCUACACAUCACAUUCCGGCAACGUCAUUUAAACUCUAGUCAAGCAGUAUCAAAGGCAGUGUUACUGUUAAGCAGUAAAAUUUCACCCCUGACUUACCUGUCCGCCUGCGCACCCUUUAAACCCAAUAAAUCCGGAUAACGCUUGCACCCUCCGUAUUACCGCGGCUGCUGGCAC